rnacentral:rRNA from 1 species
CCUACGGGUGGCAGCAGUGAGGAAUAUUGGUCAAUGGGCGCGAGCCUGAACCAGCCAAGUCGCGUGAGGGAAGACGGUCCUAUGGAUUGUAAACCUCUUUUGUCGGGGAGCAAAAGACGCCACGCGUGGCGUUCCGAGAGUACCCGAAGAAAAAGCAUCGGCUAACUCCGUGCCAGCAGCCGCGGUAAUACGGAGGAUCCGAGCGUUAUCCGGAUUUAUUGGGUUUAAAGGGUGCGCGGGCGGAGGUUAAAGUCAGCGGUAAAAUUGAGGGGCUCAACCUCUGCGAGCCGUUGAAACUGGUGUUCUUGAGUGAGUGAGAAGUAGGCGGAAUUCGUGGUGUAGCGGUGAAAUGCAUAGAUAUCACGCAGAACUCCGAUUGCGAAGGCAGCAUACCGGAGCGUAACUGACGCUCAUGCACGAAAGUGUGGGUAUCGAACAGGAUUAGAUACCCGAGUAGUC